rnacentral:tRNA from 1 species
GCCUCCUUAGCUCAGCGGAUUAGAGCGCUUCGCUUCGGACGAAGAGGUCAGGGGUUCAAAUCCUCUAGGGGGCGCCA